GUGGUAGGGGUGUAAAGAUGGGGCCAGGGAGGUGGGUAUUCACUAUGUAAUCAAUGGUAUCUGUAAUACACCAUACCAGAAUAAAUGAUUGUAUUGACCCUCAUUCAAGGUCAUGUUCGUUAAAUCUUCGAAUGCAACUGUAUUUGAUGGACAUUUAGAGUCAAGCGUAAGAUGUCUUUUUUUAUGAAGCUUCAUUGUUCCUUCUAAGGUCCCAUUUAACAUUUAAGGUCACUGAAGGUUACCAUUACUAUUGUUAGAAACUUGAUAUGAAAGAUUUUGCCUAUAGCUUAUAGUAGUUUUUGAUAUCAUGAAUUAAAUGAUUGACUAGAUUAAGGCUGAAGUAUCAAGGUCAUGCAUUACAAAUGUGGGUCAUAAUUACUGAUUUUAGAAAUUAACAUAUAAACUAUUGUACAUAGUAGUGUAUGCUACUCCUCAAAUAAAGUAAUCCACAUACUUUGAUAAAACUCAAAAUGAUUGAUAUUAGCGUUUAUAGAAACUUUUUUUUUUUUUUUUCGUAGAUAUUAUCUCUUUGAGUAUACUCAAGAAAAUAAAAGUUGUCUUGAAUAAACUUUGUUAGCCUUAGGGUUGCAGUGCUGUCAUCAAGCAUGAUAUAAUGAAGAAGAUGUAAACAGUGUUGCUCAUUAUGAAAAAAAUUAAUCAUGAAUUUUAUUUAUUGCCAACACCAAAUUUCACCAAACAAUGAUCAACGUUUGUUAUUACAAUUUUUUAGGAUAUGUGAAAAGGGAUUAUGCUUCAUUUUUAAUCCCAUUUUUAAUUUUUGAAGCAUUUCCUCUUGGAUGCUCUCCAUCUUGAAAAAUCACAAAUAUUGUUUUUCCAUGGCACUGUUUACUUUACUGGUGUUUUAAUAUGUUUGGUUAUCCUGUGUCAGCUGUAGGUUUGAUCUUAUUAUUUAAAUAGAAAAAACAUCUUUGGGCAUUACAAUGGCAUGUUAAUUAUUGAGGAAGGAGUUUAAACCAAGGAAUAGAACAAGCUCCAUUCCUAUGACUUGGUUGGUUGGUUCCUUCUAUCCCUUGUUUGGAUACCACCCAGUGUGAUUAAAGAACGAGGAAAACUCUUAGUCCAAGUCUUUUGUGAUUGUUUCUGAUAAUAGAAUGGAGUUUACUAAGGAAUAUUGUUGUGAGAUUCUACAUUGUUAUAGUUAUGAUAUACUGUUUUUGUUAAUGUAUAUAUAAAUGUUUUUGUACGUCACUAAUGUCUACAAAAGGAUAUGUGUUUUUAUUUGUCUGAAAAGGUUAAAAUUUAACAAAAGGAGACCGUAUAUACAUGAAUUCCUUGUAGCAAUAUGCUAUCCCUACAUGUAUCCUGAUGAAGAAUUUCUAACAAAUACUAAUAUGUUUAACAUGAUGAUUUCUCCAGUAUAAUUACAGUAUAGUAUUGUUCAUAUAAUCUUGUAUAUAGGAUCUUGCAUUUAAGUUCUCAUUUCUGGCCAGUGUUAUAGGAGUCUAGUUAAGUUAGAUAAACUGUCAGAAUUUGUGUCAUUAUACAUCUGAAACAUAUUUAAGGUAAUUUCUGUUACCUGAUCAAUUUAUUUUAAUUAAUUGGAAAAAACAGGAUGUUCGGUGUGAUUCUUGAAGUUCUCAACAUGCCAUAUUUACUUACAAUAGUCUCCAUGUCCAUUGUAACAUUAUGCUAUUGUUGGUGAUGUUAUUUCCUAAUUUGAUAAAGUUACAAUAUGUGUUGUACAAGUGCUUUCCAAAAUGUACAAUUUUUUUUUAUCAUGGAAUGAUUAAAGUGACCAUGUGUUUAAGUAUUUAGCUCCUUGUCAUAUGUACUAACUAUAAGUCUAAAAGAAGUACUACCUCUGACAGUUGUCACAGGUCUGAUGUAGUCAUUAUUGUGUCCAUCAUAUAGUGGAAUUCUGUAGAAUUCUGUAGAAUCUACGUCCCACUGAUGGCGAGGUGUCACAGGUCUGAUGUAGUCAUCAUUGUGUCCAUCAUACGAUGGAAUUCUGUAGAAUUCUGUAGAAUCUACGUCCCACUGAUGGCGAGGUGUCACAGGUAUACUGUAGUCAUUAUUGUGUCCAUCAUACAGUGGAAUUCUGUAGAAUCUACGUCCCACUGAUGGUGAGGUGUCACAGGUCUGAUGUAGUCAUUAUUGUGUCCAUCAUACAGUGGAAUUCUGUAGAAUCUACGUCCCACUGAUGACGAGGUGUCACAGGUCUGAUGUAGUCAUUAUUGUGUCCAUCAUACAGUGGAAUUCUGUAGAAUCUACGUCCCACUGAUGACGAGGUGUCACAGGUCUGAUGUAGUCAUCAUUGUGUCCAUCAUACAGUGGAAUUCUGUAGAAUCUACGUCCCACUGAUGGUGAGGUGUCACAGGUCUGAUGUAGUCAUUAUUGUGUCCAUCAUACAGUGGAAUUCUGUAGAAUCUACGUCCCACUGAUGGCGAGGUGUCACAGGUCUGAUGUAGUCAUUAUUGUGUCCAUCAUACAGUGGAAUUCUGUAGAAUCUACGUCCCACUGAUGACGAGGUGUCACAGGUCUGAUGUAGUCAUCAUUGUGUCCAUCAUACAGUGGAAUUCUGUAGAAUUCUGUAGAAUCUACGUCCCACUGAUGGCGAGGUGUCACAGGUCUGAUGUAGUCAUUAUUGUGUCCAUCAUACAGUGGAAUUCUGUAGAAUUCUGUAGAAUCUACGUCCCACUGAUGGCGAGAUGUCACAGGUAUACUGUAGUCAUUAUUGUGUCCAUCGUACAGUGGAAUUCUGUAGAAUUCUGUAGAAUCUACGUCCCACUGAUGGCGAGGUGUCACAGGUCUGAUGUAGUCAUUAUUGUGUCCAUCAUACAGUGGAAUUCUGUAGAAUUCUGUAGAAUCUACGUCCCACUGAUGGCGAGGUGUCACAGGUCUGAUGUAGUCAUUAUUGUGUCCAUCAUACAGUGGAAUUCUGUAGAAUUCUGUAGAAUCUACGUCCCACUGAUGACGAGGUGUCACAGGUCUGAUGUAGUCAUUAUUGUGUCCAUCAUACAGUGGAAUUCUGUAGAAUUCUGUAGAAUCUACGUCCCACUGAUGACGAGGUGUCACAGGUCUGAUGUAGUCAUUAUUGUGUCCAUCAUACAGUGGAAUUCUGUAGAAUUCUGUAGAAUCUACGUCCCACUGAUGGCGAGGUGUCACAGGUCUGAUGUAGUCAUUAUUGUGUCCAUCAUACAGUGGAAUUCUGUAGAAUUCUGUAGAAUCUACGUCCCACUGAUGACGAGGUGUCACAGGUCUGAUGUAGUCAUUAUUGUGUCCAUCAUACAGUGGAAUUCUGUAGAAUCUACGUCACACUGAUGACGAGGUGUCACAGGUCUGAUGUAGUCAUUAUUGUGUCCAUCAUACAGUGGAAUUCUGUAGAAUUCUGUAGAAUCUACGUCCCACUGAUGACGAGGUGUCACAGGUCUGAUGUAGUCAUUAUUGUGUCCAUCAUAUAGUGGAAUUCUGUAGAAUCUACGUCCCACUGAUGGCGAGGUGUCACAGGUCUGAUGUAGUCAUUAUUGUGUCCAUCAUACAGUGGAAUUCUGUAGAAUUCUGUAGAAUCUACGUCCCACUGAUGACGAGGUGUCACAGGUCUGAUGUAGUCAUUAUUGUGUCCAUCAUACAGUGGAAUUCUAUAGAAUUCUGUAGAAUCUACAUCACACGGAUGGCGAGGUGUCACAGGUCCCAAUUUCAUUUUAAUAAAACAUAUUAUCAUUUAAUAGUGUUUAAUCAAAAUACUGAUUUAAUUAUGUGUUUAUUUAUGUGUAAAGGAGUGUUAAGAAAAACAUCCAUCCAUUGAUGUAAUCAUCAAUAUAAUUGUAUUAUUAAUGUCUAUCUUAUUUGUUCUGUGUGUUAUUUCAUAAAACCACUACUUAAAUUAAAAUUGUGUUUAAUAAUUCUAUACAUUUCUAGGAAAACUGUAAAACUUAUGAAAGAUGGACAUGUACAUAACAAAUGGUCAUUUUAGGUAGUAAACCUGGCUUUGUUAAAGUAUCUGUAUUGCCUAAAAUAACUGGAGUAGGUGAGCAUUACAAAAUAAAAAAGUAAGCCAAUAUUUGGAGUGAUAUUUUGAAGUACCUAGGUUUAAAUGGAGAAAGCUGUAAUUCACCUCUAAUGAUUUAGGUUCACUCUUCAUUUCACCAAAUCCUUUGUAAAUAUUUAUUUCUGAACAAUGGUAACAGCCAUAGCAAGGGUAUAUCUGGGUUUUACUGUAUAUAUUCUUGUGUUGAAUUAUAGUCAUGUCCAUCACAUUCGGGGGCCUGUUCGUUUACUCGGACAAACCGGUGCGUCAGUUUUUAAAUGUAAUAUUUCAAACAUAUUAUAUCUUGACGGACCUGCAAAUGUUAAUACAGGCCUUGGGAGUAUUUGUCAAGGCUCGUCUGAAAACAAUAUAAAAUCACCAGGUCCGUCUUUUUUUCAUAAACGAACAACACCGGUCCAAGUGGUCUAACCGUUUGGACCGCAAAAAUGAAAACGGCCCAUGUCUAGGCCUUUUCAAAUUGGGUACCAGCAAUUAAUAUAAAUAAAUAAAUUUCACACACAAAAAAAAAACUUUAUUGAAAGUCUGCAGUUAAUAUUUUCCUAAGUUACUUUGAUUUGUUCGAUACAUUUCGGUGUAAGGAAUUACUUCUAAUCUCUGUCGGUCUUAAUAAGGGGAGAUUACUCUUGGUUUAUGUGAAUCACACUAGACAGUGACUAGUGCAAUGAUAUACCUGUACUAGUAAUAAUCAUUGUUGGAUGUUUUAUUACACCCACAUAAAUAUAUAUAUGUAUUUGUACAUGUUACAAUGGUGUUAGAAACAUUUAUAUUACUGUGCCAGUAAUACUGUAUGCAAACUAUUGCAUGCUGUUAUUGAGUCAGUUUUUCCGUCAUCUUGAAAUGGUUAAAUCAAACAAGUUCUACUUCAAUAUACAAGGACCUAUAUACCUUUAUACCAGUGACUUGGCACGAAUUUCCAACCCACAAUCCAUAUAUGGUACAUAUAUAUGGACCAUGGGCUGGAAAUCCAUGCCAAGCUCCUGUACUUUAUACCAGUGAAAGUAUUUAACACCUUGUUACAUGUUUCAGUGGGUUGUUGUUAUGUACUUGUGUAUAUUUAUUUGUCAUAAUUUAAUCAUUGUUCAUAUCCCAUUGAUAUGAAAGCAUGAAUAAAAUUUAAAUAUUUUA